UUACUGCAGAGAUUUGGUCUUCGUUAGG
rnacentral:sRNA from 1 species